GACGAACGCUGGCGGCGUGCCUAAUACAUGCAAGUCGAACGGAAAGGCCAUGAUCUUGUGGGGUGCUCGAGAGGCGAACGGGUGAGUAAAACGCGAGUAACCUGCCCUUGAAUUUGGGAUAACAUCAGGAAAAAGGGGAUAAUACCGGAUAGGAGCUACUGCUGCAUGGUGGGGGUUGGAAAGUUUCGGCGGUUGGGGAUGGACUAGCGGCUUAUCAGCUUGUUGGUGGGGUAGUGGCUUACCAAGGCUUUGACGGGUAGCCGGCCUGAGAGGGUGACCGGCCACAUUGGUCCUGAGAUACGGCCCAGUCUCCUACGGUAGGCAGCAGUGGGGAAUAUUGCACAAUGGGCGGAAGCCUGAUGCAGCAACGCCGCGUGCGGGAUGACGUCCUUCGGGUUGUAAACCGCUUUCUCCUGUGACGAGGCGUGAUUGACGGUAAUGAGUAAAGAAGCACCGGCUAACUACGUG
rnacentral:rRNA from 1 species